rnacentral:rRNA from 1 species
ACGCACGCUGGCGGCGUGCUUAACACAUGCCAGUCGAACGGAAAGGCCCUGCUUUUGUGGGGUGCUCGAGUGGCGAACGGGUGAGUAACACGUGAGUAACCUGCCCUUGACUUUGGGAUAACUUCAGGAAACUGGGGCUAAUACCGGAUAGGAGCUCCUGCUGCAUGGUGGGGGUUGGAAAGUUUCGGCGGUUGGGGAUGGACUCGCGGCUUAUCAGCUUGUUGGUGGGGUAGUGGCUUACCAAGGCUUUGACGGGUAGCCGGCCUGAGAGGGUGACCGGCCACAUUGGGACUGAGAUACGGCCCAGACUCCUACGGGAGGCAGCAGUGGGGAAUAUUGAACAAUGGGCGGAAGCCUGAUGCAGCAACGCCGCGUGCGGGAUGACGGCCUUCGGGUUGUAAACCGCUUUCGCCUGUGACGAAGCGUGAGUGACGGUAAUGGGUAAAGAAGCACCGGCUAACUACGUG